GUGAGCUGCACCAGUCCCUCGUGGAGCUGGAAUGGGAGGCUGCUCUGCAUGUCUGGAUGGAUGCUCCUCUCCAGCAGCAUCCUGGACUAAUGCCAGAUCAAAGUGGACAUGUAACCAUGGCUUCAUGUUCUUAGGGCCAAGAAUCUGUGAAAGUUAUGUCUCAUAUCUUUGAAGCUACUCUCUUACAGGAGCCCAGUUAAGAGGAAAGAGCUCUGGAACCUUUUGAAAGCUUCGACAGCUUGAUGAUGCUCUUCCUGGACUAUUUAACUACUGUCACGAAAUUUUACUUGGAACCAUUUUUAGUGAGAACAAUUUAAAUAGCAAAGUAGAAAUGUUCUUUGUUUCAAAAAACUGUCUCUCAAAAGGAGAAGAAUGCAAUUAGACUGGUUUUGGCUCUGGAGUUAGUUGUAGGUCUCUAUAGUGUACCCCAGCAACUGGGGAGCUCUGCCCUUUUCAGUAGAGAUAUGUUUGGGUUUAUAUCAAUACUGUCUUUUCCAGCCUGUGUCAUUUUUCAGUUGUACUCAAUGAUCUCAAGGGUUUUUUCCAAUCUAAAUAAAUCUCUGAUUUUAUGACCUAGUGAGGCUAAUUAAAUUGAAAGUGCGCUUCCCCAAAGUAAAGGAGGGAAAUACACUGAACUGCCUUUCUCUGUGUGCACUUUCAGAGCAGAGGAGGGUGGUUGAGGAAUUGAUGUGCAAGUCCUUGUUUCUGCCCUAUCAAUUCUCUGCAUAAGCCCCAACUGCCAAAGAAGAGAGGCACAUGUGGAGAUCAGACCAUGGAAGUGUUGUCAUUGAAUGAAAAUUCAUCAGAGAGCUUUAGUUAAUUAUCCUAGUUCAUCAAAAUGGGGAUUCUUCCACUCUUGGAUAGCAUUGCCGUAUUUCCCUGCCAGGGAAAUUAUGUGGAUAAUACCAAAUCGCUUAGCAAGUUUUUGUGGUUUAGUCCCUUUUUAAAAUCACAAUUACUUUUAAAUUGAGCUUGUCAGUUGGACAUCUGAAUGGGUGUAGUCCACAAAACUGCACUUGACCUGCAAAUUACAUUUAUUAGGAGGGCAGCACUUCUGAGUGAAAGAUAAAGAUCAAAUCCAAUCUGAUCAUUGGAGCAGUCAUUUCUGCUUGUUGGGUUAUGAUGGUGGGAAUUACCUUAAAUCUGUCUUCACAAGGCACAACCCUUGUUUAAAACAACCCUGGAGGGGUUUUAACUCUGGAGGAUCUAGUUAGAGGAAGGAGCAAUGGAUGGCUAUCUUCUGUGUGUGCUCCCCAGUGAUCCAAGACUGACUGUGCCUCUGAGAUGACAGCAGAGUUACUGAAGCUACUGAACAGUAUUUUCACACCAGAAAAGUUCUAAAAUAUGUGUUGGGAAUUUACACUAUGCUCCUUCUGUAAAGCGCUGCAUUAAUGAGAGUUACAAUACAGAUUCAUAUACAAAUCUUCAAAUACUCUGGAUGGAAUGACUGAUGGCUUCGUAUAACCCCUGGUUACAAGCAGUUUGCUUGUGCUGGCUCUGCUAAUUAGCACCUCACUCUUUCAUUUACCCUGCAGCAAACAGGGCUUGCCUGGCUCAGACCUCUCUGUGCUAGCCUGUGCUGCACUGUAGAUGUAUGAGGACAACCGCAGGUCCCAAGUUGAAAGUAGAGACAAAGCAAAUGUCUUUUCUGAGAGUGGCACAUGUACCUUUGGGGUCUGCUUGUCACUGGACUUGGUAUGUGGAAGGUCAGUUUGGUACAAUUUGUUUCUUCCCACUUCUCUUUUCAUCCUCUCCAUGUUCAUGAGGUAGUUUUAUGCUCUUUCUGGACCUACAUCUUGAAAACUGUAACUGCUCUGUGAUAUCACUAAGCCACACAGUUUUCCUUGGUGCGCUUUAUUAAAG